AUCCAGCUGACGGGUCUCAAAUUGGACGAAAUAUGCGUUAUCCUGGAU
rnacentral:hammerhead_ribozyme from 1 species